rnacentral:misc_RNA from 1 species
GAUGAAGAACGUAGCGAAAUGCGAUAAGUAAUGUGAAUUGCAGAAUUCAGUGAAUCAUCGAAUCUUUGAACGCACCUUGCGCCCUUUGGUAUUCCGAAGGGCAUGCCUGUUUGAGUGUCAUUAAAUUAUCAACUCUGAAGUUUUUCAGAGCUUGGACUUGGAGUGUGCCGGACCCCUGACGGGAUUCAGCUCCUCUUUAAAUGUAUAUGCGGAACCUUUGAUUGCGGAUCAGCUCCAGCGUGAUAAUUAUCUACGUUGCAGCGGUGAACCAGUUGGAUCUGACUAGAACCGUUGCGUUACGCAACAGGGGCUUCACAACCCCUAUCUUUGACAAUUUGACCUCAAAUCAGGUAGGAUUACCCGCUGAACUUAAGCAUAUCAAUAAGCGGAGGA